GACGAACCGUGCGAACGUUGUUCGGAAUCACUGGGCUUAAAGGGCGCGUAGGCGGACUGCCAAGUCCGGGGUGAAACCCUCCGGCUUAACCGGAGAAUUGCCUGGGAUACUGGCGGUCUUGAGGGAGGUAGGGGCACGCGGAACUUCCGGUGGAGCGGUGAAAUGCGUUGAUAUCGGAAGGAACGCCGGUGGCGAAAGCGGCGUGCUGGCCCUCUUCUGACGCUGAGGCGCGAAAGCCAGGGGAGCGAACGGG
rnacentral:rRNA from 1 species